GUCAACGUUCAUACCACGUCGGAAAUUACCAGUUCUCGUCCGAUCACUGAAGUCAAGCGACGUUGGGUACGGUUAGUACUUGGAUGGGUGACCGCUUGGGAACACCGUAUAAUGUUGACA
rnacentral:rRNA from 1 species